rnacentral:rRNA from 1 species
AACGUAGGAGACAAACGUUAUCCGGAGUUACUGGGCGUAAAGGGCGUGCAGGUGGUCUGUUAAGUCUGGCGUGAAAGCUCUCGGCUAAACCGGGAGAGGUCGUUGGAUACUGGCGGACUAGAGGACGGUAGAGGCGUGUGGAAUUCCGGGUGUAGUGGUGAAAUGCGUAGAGAUCGGGAGGAACACCAGAGGCGAAGGCGGCGACCUGGACAGGUACUGACACUCAACUACGAAAGCGUGGGGAGCAAACAGG